UACGUAGGGUGCAGGCGUUAAUCGGAAUUACUGGGCGUAAAGCGUGCGCAGGCGGUUUUCUAAGACAGGUGUGAAAUCCCCGGGCUUAACCUGGGAACUGCGCUUGUAACUGGCAAGCUGGAGUGUGGCAGAGGGGGGUGGAAUUCCACGUGUAGCAGUGAAAUGCGUAGAGAUGUGGAGGAACACCGAUGGCGAAGGCAGCCCCCUGGGCUAACACUGACGCUCAUGCACGAAAGCGUGGGGAGCAAACAGG
rnacentral:rRNA from 1 species